UGACAGAUCUGCAUUAAGUUGAUUUCUUUUGGAUGCUGCAACAAAUUGACUCAGAGUAAGUUGGCCCAUGCCAACUUGCAUUAGCUGCUUUUCAGAGGGUGGAUGGUCAUUUGAUCCUGAAGAUUGAGAAGUAGUCACCGUAGUGGCAAAAUGGACAGCGUGGUUUCUUUCCCUACAGUUUCGCGAUGGGUUUUUUGGAGGAGUUUCACUGCUGGUACAUUGGAAAUGCAAACCAAAGGGAAUUGAAGCAUAAACUAGUUUUUCCAUGAAGAGAGAAGGACAAAAGGUAACCGCUACAAGGUAAUUGUAUACCUUUUCUCUACAAAGAAAUUUAUUUAGUGUGCACAAUUGUAUAGGAAGAAAUGUUUUGAAAUGAGAAAUAUUUUCAAGGAUCUAGGGUGUCAGCCUAAUUUAUUUAUUUUUUUUUUUUUCAAUUGUGUGCAUAUUAAAGUUUUCCAGAAAAAUCAUACCCGGUUAUAACUUAUAUGUAAUGAGCUCAAGAUGAUUUGUUUUUUUGCAACUCCAAUUGGUAUACCCUGAAUUUCACAUAAGUAAUGCGCUUAAUGCGCUGUCAAGAUAAGUAAUGCGUUGUCAACUUCUAGACUCUUAACUCCAAAAGUUAACUUCAGGUAACUCUUUUGGAUGAGGCUUUGGGCCGUUACUGAUGGUAUCUGAGUCCAACCCACCCCAUUCCUUAUACAGACUUACUGCCCAUGGUCAUGAUGAUGAUUUCUUGACAAUGAAUGGAAAGGGCACUGCUGCCCUCUCUGCACAAGGAGGGGAAAGAUCUGAUGCCCAUAAUCUUAUAUCCAGUGAUGCGCUUUGUAAGGCUUAAGAGUCCAGAAGUUAACUUUAGCUAGCAAAUUUGGAUGUGGCCUUGGAUUGUUACAUUGGGAUUCAUCGACUUGCUAAGGUUAUACAUUACAUCUAUUCUGAAGUCUGGAACUGUUUUAUUAUGGAGAUUUUUUCUCAGUUUCGCAUGCUGAUAAUUGUUGGAAAUGAAAAAAGCAUGGUAUAUUUUAUCCUAAUUUCAGUAUGCUUGCUGAUCCUCAGUAUGUUAUACAUGCUUUAUCCUACCAAAUGGAUUCUAUAACUAAUUUUUCUCUUACUGCUAAGCCUUCAAUAGUUAAAUUUUUCUUUGCCUGGGAGUCCCUCUUUCGCUCAUACAAUAAACUCAAUAUCGGUGUCUGCAGAAGAGGUGAGAGUCAUAUCAGUGCUGUUGGUCUAGUUUGUGACAGUAAUGAAGGAUGGACCACAGGGGUUUGCUGGUAAUCUUGGCAUGGGAGAGGUACUAACUGAAAAUGCUGAGGGUUUGUCUUAUAGCCUCCAUUUAGCCGGGAAUAAGGUUAUUAAGAAGCUGAAAAAUGAAAUAGCUUCAGCAAUAUAUAGAAGUUACUUUGAUGAUCAAAGUUUAGAAGUAGAAAAAAGAAAUAAUGUAAAUAUUGAUUAUGAAUUUGUGAAGAUACAUCUAAUAAUUGGUAAAGCCAAAAUGAAAUUCACCUCACAAUUUUUCUGUAGUUCCUUCGAAAGAUUUCCACUUUUGUAUUUGGUCAAUAGAUUUUCACUUUUGUUUUUGGUCAAUAGAUUUCCACUUUUCUUUAUGGUCACUAGUUUUCCACUUUUAAUUUACAAUGAAGUUUUAUUUUCUCUUUAUUAUGUUGAAAAUUAGUUUCACUAAUAUGGCUCGACAGUUUACUUCACAUUGGGAGUGAAUGAUUACAAUCUAAAACACGUAGUUUCUUCUAUAAAUCCAGUUUCCAGGUAAAGAAAAGGAAAAAACUUUGUUUACACAAUCAAUUGAAAUGUUGAUGCCUGUAAAAGAAUAGUAAGCAGAAACAUUAUAUAAGUGACAACAAUAACUUCUUUUUUUGCUCCUUUUGGCAGUUCAAGACAUGAAUGCAGGAUUUUAAAGAAGACAAUAUUUUUGCUAUGGCACUGGCUGGUUCACUUUGCAUACCUUGCCUUAUAACCCAU
rnacentral:lncRNA from 1 species